rnacentral:rRNA from 1 species
UACGGAGGGGGCUAGCGUUGUUCGGAAUUACUGGGCGUAAAGCGCGCGUAGGCGGACCUGCAAGUCGGGGGUGAAAGCCCGAGGCUCAACCUCGGAACUGCCUUCGAUACUGCGGUCUCGAGUCCGGGAGAGGUGAGUGGAAUUCCUAGUGUAGAGGUGAAAUUCGUAGAUAUUAGGAAGAACACCAGUGGCGAAGGCGGCUCACUGGCCCGGUACUGGACGCUGAGGCGCGAAAGCGUGGGGAGCAAACAGGGAUUAAGAUAACCCCGGUA